GCUGAGUGUGGUGGCGCACACCUAUAGUCCCAGCUACUCGGGAGGCUGAGGCGGAAGGAUUGCUUGAGCCCAGGAGUUUGAGGCUGUAGUGAGCUAUGAUUGCACCACUGCACUCUAGCCUGGGUGACAGAGUGACACUCUGUCUCUA
rnacentral:SRP_RNA from 1 species